ACGCUGGCGGCGUGCUUAACACAUGCAAGUCGAACGGUGAAGAGGAGCUUGCUCCUUGGAUCAGUGGCGAACGGGUGAGUAACACGUGAGUAACCUGCCCUUGACUCUGGGAUAAGCACUGGAAACGGUGUCUAAUACCGGAUACGAGCUUCAGCCGCAUGGCUAGGAGUUGGAAAGAAUUUCGGUCAAGGAUGGACUCGCGGCCUAUCAGCUAGUUGGUGAGGUAAUGGCUCACCAAGGCGACGACGGGUAGCCGGCCUGAGAGGGUGACCGGCCACACUGGGACUGAGACACGGCCCAGACUCCUACGGGAGGCAGCAGUGGGGAAUAUUGCACAAUGGGCGCAAGCCUGAUGCAGCAACGCCGCGUGAGGGACGACGGCCUUCGGGUUGUAAACCUCUUUUAGUAGGGAAGAAGCGAAAGUGACGGUACCUGCAGAAAAAGCACCGGCUAACUACGUGCCAGCAGCCGCGGUAAUACGUAGGGUGCAAGCGUUGUCCGGAAUUAUUGGGCGUAAAGAGCUCGUAGGCGGUUUGUCGCGUCUGCCGUGAAAACCCGAGGCUCAACCUCGGGCCUGCAGUGGGUACGGGCAGACUAGAGUGCGGUAGGGGAGAUUGGAAUUCCUGGUGUAGCGGUGGAAUGCGCAGAUAUCAGGAGGAACACCAAUGGCGAAGGCAGAUCUCUGGGCCGUAACUGACGCUGAGGAGCGAAAGCAUGGGGAGCAAAC
rnacentral:rRNA from 1 species